rnacentral:rRNA from 1 species
UGACCUAAACCCUCACCAGAGUAACAAUUGGAGGGCAAGUCUGGUGCCAGCAGCCGCGGUAAUUCCAGCUCCAAUAGCGUAUAUUAAACUUGUUGCAGUUAAAAAGCUCGUAGUUGAAUUUCUGCGUUAUCGAGUUAUUGACUCUUGUCUUUAAUCGAUUUCGCUUUUGGGAUUUAUCCCUUUUUACUUUGAGAAAAUUAGAGUGUUUCAAGCAGACUUUUGUCUUGAAUACUUCAGCAUGGAAUAAUAGAGUAGGACUUUGGUUCUAUUUUGUUGGUUUUUGAACCUUAGUAAUGGUUAAUAGGAACGGUUGGGGGCAUUCGUAUUUAACUGUCAGAGGUGAAAUUCUUAGAUUUGUUAAAGACGAACUACUGCGAAAGCAUUUGCCAAGGACGUUUCCAUUAAUCAAGAACGAAAGUUAGGGGAUCGAAGACGAUCAGAUACCGUCGUAGUCCUAACCAUAAACUAUGCCGACUAGGGAUUGGAGGUCGUCAUUUUUCCGACUCCUUCAGCACCUU